rnacentral:lncRNA from 1 species
GGUGCGUGGCUGGUUUGUUGAUGGUUUUUGUGUUCUAAAGGAGGGAGCGGCGGCUUGAGCAGAUGAGAGGCAAGGGAGGGGGCUGUGUGCUGGUCUGUGAGGGGGAUAACAGUGGAGAGGGGAAGGAAACGGUGGAACCGGCCGGGUCAGCAAAAUGAAGGCCACCGGGGGGGCUGUGUGCAGAGAAGAAAAAAUUCUCUGGUGGGUGGCGGCGGCUGGGUGUGAAAGAGAUAGGUUUAGGGUUUUUCUUCCCCUUUUUUAUUUGUCAAAAUUGCCCCCCCC